rnacentral:lncRNA from 1 species
CCAAAGGCCCUUCCCAAAUCUGUGACAUUUCAUGAGUCUAUAAUUUAUGAGUGCCUCUGAAGAGGAGUCCUAGCACGGCAAGGGUGAGAAAACCUGCCGUGGUGAGCAGAGAGUGAUGGGCAGAGAGUGGAGGGUGCUGUGAGCCAGAAGACAGCAGACCUGGGAGCCAAUAUCUGGAAGACAUGGAUGCCGACUUUGACUCAAUCGAGAGGGGCCCUUUUCUCACAAGCAGAGCUUUUCAGGAGACUCAAAGGAAGACAGAGGAGCUCCAUGCUGGCUGCACCUGGAAGAAGCAUGGCCAGGCACGAGGUCCCCCACCUGGAAUUUCAACACUGUGGAAGGCCAAGG